GAUCAUGGCUCAGAGUGAACGCUGGCGGCGUGCUUAACACAUGCAAGUCGAACGAGAACGGGUUAUAGCUUGCUAUAAUUGUCAGCUAAGUGGCGCACGGGUGAGUAAUGUAUAGGUAAUAUGCCUCUUACUAAGGGAUAACAAAUGGAAACGUUUGCUAAUACCUUAUACUCCUUAUUAACAGAAGUUAAUAAGGGAAAGAUUUAUUGGUAAGAGAUUAGCCUGUAUUGUAUCAGUUAGUUGGUGGGGUAAUGGCUUACCAAGACUAUGACACAUAACUGGUUUGAGAGGAUGAUCAGUCACACUGGAACUGAGACACGGUCCAGACUCCUACGGGAGGCAGCAGUGGGGAAUAUUGCACAAUGGACGAAAGUCUGAUGCAGCAACGCCGCGUGGAGGAUGACACAUUUCGGUGCGCAAACUCCUUUUAUAUGAGAAGAUAAUGACGGUAUUAUAUGAAUAAGCACCGGCUAACUCCGUG
rnacentral:rRNA from 1 species